AAACUUUUUCAAACUAAAACCUAGGAGUUGGAUGAACCAAGAAAUGAAUCCAUUUUGAUUAUGCAGUUGUGUCCAGUGUUAUCUUGGGAAACAUGGUUUCCGCGUAAAAUGUAUGUGGGGCUUGAAGUUUUCCUAACGCCCUUCUCUGUGUAUUCCCUACUGUUUGGUAAGCGCUGAGGUCACACUGCAGACAGUGUGACCUCUCCCCACCACUUCGCUGUCUGUUUGCACAACACGCCUAGCAACAGAAUGGCUUGGACUCAACUGCGCCUAGGAGCGAGUUCAUUCAAGCUGGUGGACAAGACACUUCUCUGUCCAUCGGCCUGUCCUGCCGACUCUGGUGUGAGUGUGAAGCUGUGGCAAGAGGGGUUUCCCAUUCCUAUUUGACCUGGUGGACACCAGCUUUCCUAGGAAAUUGCUGAUGUUGCUGAGGAGGCGGCAGUAUCAAAGGCCUUGUUGAUGAAGGUACAACAAGCUGGGGAGGCUUUGGCAUUUCUGCACAGUGCUGCUCCCUGACUGUCACUCCAGACUCAGAUUCUGAAAGAAGCAAAGCAAGCUAGAGGAAAACUGGAUGUCCAGUAUCCAAAACUCCGUGUUACAGCGGA